AGGAAACACACAGAAGGCAUCUGAUCUUUCACAUUAAAAUACACAGGGGGGAAAACGCAGGGCUGAAAAUAGCAGAAGAAAUAUUUUCGAGCUGUUUCCAAGGGCUUCCUCUCACCCCUGGAAUAAGAACUUGAUCUUCUACCUGGAUGGAUGUGUUUAUACUGGUGAUCUGGAGAUGGUGAAAGACUGGCUGAGUGACGGCCAUCUCUACUCCUGCAUUCUUCCUGUUCCCUUUCUGAGGGAAAGGCAUUAAGGAGACCACAUGACAAAUACCAACAGUGAUACAUAUGAGACUGGCUACAAGAUGAAUACAAGUCAUAAAAAGAAAGUAAAGCGACCAAAUAUCAAGUGGAACAAGAUAAGAAUUAUGAUGUUAUUUCACCUUUUAUCAUCUUAGAUAUGAAAAUUUUAAA